rnacentral:rRNA from 1 species
UGCAAGUCGAACGGAGUCUGCAUGAAACCUAGUGAUUGUAGACUUAGUGGCGGACGGGUGAGUAACGCGUGGGUAACCUGCCUUGUACUGGGGGACAACAGUUGGAAACGACUGCUAAUACCGCAUAAGCGCACAGCUUCGCAUGAAGCAGUGUGAAAAACUGAGGUGGUACAAGAUGGACCCGCGUCUGAUUAGCUGGUUGGUGAGGUAACGGCUCACCAAGGCGACGAUCAGUAGCCGGCCUGAGAGGGUGAACGGCCACAUUGGGACUGAGACACGGCCCAAACUCCUACGGGAGGCAGCAGUGGGGAAUAUUGCACAAUGGGGGAAACCCUGAUGCAGCGACGCCGCGUGAGUGAAGAAGUAUUUCGGUAUGUAAAGCUCUAUCAGCAGGGAAGAAAGAAAUGACGGUACCUGACUAAGAAGCCCCGGCUAACUACGUGCCAGCAGCCGCGGUAAUACGUAGGGGGCAAGCGUUAUCCGGAUUUACUGGGUGUAAAGGGAGCGUAGACGGCAUGGCAAGUCUGAAGUGAAAUGCCAGGGCUUAACCCUGGAACUGCUUUGGAAACUGUCUAGCUAGAGUGCAGGAGAGGUAAGUGGAAUUCCUAGUGUAGCGGUGAAAUGCGUAGAUAUUAGGAGGAACACCAGUGGCGAAGGCGGCUUACUGGACUGUAACUGACGUUGAGGCUCGAAGGCGUGGGGAGCAAACAGGAUUAGAUACCCUGGUAGUCCACGCGGUAAACGAUGAAUACUAGGUGUAGGAGGGCAAAGCCCUUCGGUGCCGCAGCAAACGCAAUAAGUAUUCCACCUGGGGAGUACGUUCGCAAGAAUGAAACUCAAAGGA